rnacentral:rRNA from 1 species
AUUGAACGCUGGCGGCAGGCUUAACACAUGCAAGUCGAGCGGAGCGAGGGUGCUUGCACCUUAGCUUAGCGGCGGACGGGUGAGUAAUGCUUAGGAAUCUGCCUAUUAGUGGCGGACAACAUCUAGAAAGGUAUGCUAAUACCGCAUACGUCCUAACGGAAAAAGCAGGGGAUCACUAUUGACCUUGCGCUAAUAGAUGAGCCUAAGGCGGAUUAGCUAGUUGGUGGGGUGAAGGCCUACCAAGCAGACGAUCUGUGGCGGGUCUGAGAGGAUGAUCCGCCACACUGGGGCUGAGACACGGCCCAGACACCGACGGGAGGCAGCAGUGGGGAAUAUUGGACAAUGGGAGGAACCCUGAUCCAGCCAUGCCGCGUGUGUGAAGAAGGCCUUAUGGUUGUAAAGCACUUUAAGCGAGGAGGAGGCUCUUUUGGUUAAUACCCAAGAUGAGUGGACGUUACUCGCAGAAUAAGCACCGGCUAACUCUGUGCCAGCCGCCGCCGUAA